rnacentral:rRNA from 1 species
AGAGUUUGAUCAUGGCUCAGAUUGAACGCUGGCGGCAGGCCUAACACAUGCAAGUCGAGCGGUAGCACAGAGAGCUUGCUCUCGGGUGACGAGCGGCGGACGGGUGAGUAAUGUCUGGGAAACUGCCUGAUGGAGGGGGAUAACUACUGGAAACGGUAGCUAAUACCGCAUAAUGUCGCAAGACCAAAGUGGGGGACCUUCGGGCCUCAUGCCAUCAGAUGUGCCCAGAUGGGAUUAGCUAGUAGGUGGGGUAACGGCUCACCUAGGCGACGAUCCCUAGCUGGUCUGAGAGGAUGACCAGCCACACUGGAACUGAGACACGGUCCAGACUCCUACGGGAGGCAGCAGUGGGGAAUAUUGCACAAUGGGCGCAAGCCUGAUGCAGCCAUGCCGCGUGUGUGAAGAAGGCCUUCGGGUUGUAAAGCACUUUCAGCGGGGAGGAAGGCGGUGAGGUUAAUAACCUCAUCGAUUGACGUUACCCGCAGAAGAAGCACCGGCUAACUCCGUGCCAGCAGCCGCGGUAAUACGGAGGGUGCAAGCGUUAAUCGGAAUUACUGGGCGUAAAGCGCACGCAGGCGGUCUGUCAAGUCGGAUGUGAAAUCCCCGGGCUUAACCUGGGAACUGCAUUCGAAACUGGCAGGCUAGAGUCUUGUAGAGGGGGGUAGAAUUCCAGGUGUAGCGGUGAAAUGCGUAGAGAUCUGGAGGAAUACCGGUGGCGAAGGCGGCCCCCUGGACAAAGACUGACGCUCAGGUGCGAAAGCGUGGGGAGCAAACAGGAUUAGAUACCCUGGUAGUCCACGCCGUAAACGAUGUCGAUUUGGAGGUUGUGCCCUUGAGGCGUGGCUUCCGGAGCUAACGCGUUAAAUCGACCGCCUGGGGAGUACGGCCGCAAGGUUAAAACUCAAAUGAAUUGACGGGGGCCCGCACAAGCGGUGGAGCAUGUGGUUUAAUUCGAUGCAACGCGAAGAACCUUACCUGGUCUUGACAUCCACAGAACUUUCCAGAGAUGGAUUGGUGCCUUCGGGAACUGUGAGACAGGUGCUGCAUGGCUGUCGUCAGCUCGUGUUGUGAAAUGUUGGGUUAAGUCCCGCAACGAGCGCAACCCUUAUCCUUUGUUGCCAGCGGUUCGGCCGGGAACUCAAAGGAGACUGCCAGUGAUAAACUGGAGGAAGGUGGGGAUGACGUCAAGUCAUCAUGGCCCUUACGACCAGGGCUACACACGUGCUACAAUGGCAUAUACAAAGAGAAGCGACCUCGCGAGAGCAAGCGGACCUCAUAAAGUAUGUCGUAGUCCGGAUUGGAGUCUGCAACUCGACUCCAUGAAGUCGGAAUCGCUAGUAAUCGUAGAUCAGAAUGCUACGGUGAAUACGUUCCCGGGCCUUGUACACACCGCCCGUCACACCAUGGGAGUGGGUUGCAAAAGAAGUAGGUAGCUUAACCUUCGGGAGGGCGCUUACCACUUUGUGAUUCAUGACUGGGGUGAAGUCGUAACAAGGUAACCGUAGGGGAACCUGCGGUUG